UUUAGGAUCUUGUUUAUAUCAUUUCAAUAACCUUUGUAAGCACUGUUUAGUUUUUCCUGCCCAUGACCAACUGUAAUGAAUGAGACCUGCGUCAGUAGGCCUUGGUUGUUCCAGGCUUUUCUAAUGUAUCAUGGCCCUCUCAUCAUGAUGCCAAGUGAUUUUGGUAUUUUCCCAACUGUCUUUAGAUAUGACUUGGAGAAGUAUGCCUAUGACUCCAAGAAGGAUAAACAGCCUCAGGGCCAUCUUUAGAAUUUACAUUUGCUCCAUACUACAUUCACUCUAGACUUCCAUUGGCAGAGUCUCUGAGACCUGCUGGAAGAGUGCAACUUAUCCGCAUUGUGUGUGGGGGGUAGGGAAACAUGGUUAUUGUAUCUGUACAAUUGUUUAUUUAAAUAUAUAGAGUUUUGGCAUUGCUCCUUCUUGAAUGCUGAGGCUGGAAUGCCCCAUGGACAGGUGAGGGAAGCCAGCAGGCUGACUUGGAUUUUGCUAGUUCAGAGGAGGGGCAGAAGGUGUGGAUAACUUUGAAAGCUGUUGUAAAUUUGCCUUAUUGAACUUAAUGUGCAUGUCCUUUUCAUGAACACACUGAUGCCAAAGUGAUCUUCAUUCUUUACCUUUGUAUGCUGAAAUUUGGAAGUGGAAGUCAUGGCUCAGGCUUUGACCCAUUCUUAAUGCAUGGAGUUCUUGGUAUUCUUUAGCACUGAAAAAGGAAAGAGGAGGGCAGUUUUUAAUUUUUUAAUUUUGUGAUUCUAAUACUUACCUGUAUUUGCAUCACCUUCAUAAGCUUAUCUCUGCACCCCAGAAGGCCUAGAACCUUUGUCGUGUAAGCUGGGCUUCUCAGGAUGUUAAUGUAGUGAUGUGGGCCUUUGAGAAGGGUACGUGCAGGCCCCUGUGGCUCUCCCCAGUCUUCUCUGGCAAGGCUUGCUUAAUGCUGCCUAUCAGUUGCUAAUGCCCAAGACAGAUAGGGGAUUUCAGAGGUCUGCUUUUGCAUGAGAAUUUUAAUGUUUUCAUUUUUGUAAGUUUGAAAUUAAAUUCCUUUAAACAUAA